GAUGAAGAACGUAGCGAAAUGCGAAAAGUAAUGUGAAUUGCAGAAUUCAGUGAAUCAUCGAAUCUUUGAACGCACAUUGCGCCCGCAGGUACUCCGGCGGGCACGCCUGUCCGAGCGUCAUUUCAACCCUCAAGCCCUCCUUCGGGAUGGGCCUGGUGUUGGGGCUCGGCCGCCAUCUCCGGCGGCCGUCCCCUAAAUACAGUGGCGGUCACGUCGCGACUCCUUUGCGUAGUAGAAACACCUCGCUCCGGAUAGCAACGCGGUCCACGCCGUAAAAUCCCCAAUUUUCAAUGGUUGACCUCGGAUCAGGUGGGAAUACCCGCUGAACUUAAGCAUAUCAAUAAGCGGAGGA
rnacentral:misc_RNA from 1 species